rnacentral:rRNA from 1 species
UACGUAGGUGGCAAGCGUUAUCCGGAAUUAUUGGGCGUAAAGCGCGCGUAGGUGGUUUUUUAAGUCUGAUGUGAAAGCCCACGGCUCAACCGUGGAGGGUCAUUGGAAACUGGAAAACUUGAGUGCAGAAGAGGGAAGUGGAAUUCCAUGUGUAGCGGUGAAAUGCGCAGAGAUAUGGAGGAACACCAGUGGCGAGGGCGACUUUCCGGUCUGUAACUGACGCUGAUGUGCGAAAGCGUGGGGAUCAAACAGG